rnacentral:rRNA from 1 species
UACGUAGGGGGCAAGCGUUGUCCGGAUUUAUUGGGCGUAAAGAGCGUGUAGGCGGCCAUACAGGUCAGCUGUGAAAACUCGAGGCUCAACCUCGAGACGUCGGUUGAAACCGUAUGGCUAGAGUCCGGAAGAGGAGAGUGGAAUUCCCGGUGUAGCGGUGAAAUGCGCAGAUAUCGGGAAGAACACCUGUGGCGAAAGCGGCUCACUGGACCACAACUGACGCUGAUGCACGAAAGCUAGGGGAGCAAACAGG